rnacentral:rRNA from 1 species
GAUGAACGCUGGCGGCGUGCUUAACACAUGCAAGUCGAACGGAAAGGCUCCUGCUUGCAGGGGUACUCGAGUGGCGAACGGGUGAGUAACACGUGGGUGAUCUGCCCUGCACUUCGGGAUAAGCCUGGGAAACUGGAUCUAAUACCGGAUAGGACGAUGGUUUGGAUGCCAUUGUGGAAAGUUUUUUCGGUUUGGGAUGAGCUCGCGGCGUAUCAGCUUGUUGGGGGGGUAAUGGCCUACCAAGGCGUCGACGGGUAGCCGGCCUGAGAGGGUGUACGGCCACAUUGGGACUGAGAUACGGCCCAGACUCAUACGGGAGGCAAGAGUGGGGAAUAGUGCACAAUGGGCGCAAGCCGGAUGCAGCGACGCCGCGUGGGGGAUGACGGCCUUCGGGUUGUAAACUCCUUUCGCUAGGGACGAAGCGCAAGUGACGGUACCUGGAGAAGAAGCACCGGCUAACUACGU